AUACGGAGGGUGCAAGCGUUGUUCGGAAUCACUGGGCGUAAAGGGCGCGCAGGCGGUUUGAUUAGUCAGAUGUGAAAGCCCACGGCUUAACCGUGGAAGUGCAUUUGAAACUGUCAGACUUGAGUAUCAGAGGGGAGAGUGGAAUUCCCGGUGUAGAGGUGAAACUCGUAGAUAUCGGGAGGAAUACCGGUGGCGAAGGCGACUUUCUGGCUGAAUACUGACGCUGAGGCGCGAAAGCGUGGGGAGCAAACAGGAUUAGAAACCCUAGUAGUCC
rnacentral:rRNA from 1 species